rnacentral:rRNA from 1 species
CAGACGAGGAGCUUGCUCCUCUGACGUUAGCGGCGGACGGGUGAGUAACACGUGGAUAACCUACCUAUAAGACUGGGAUAACUUCGGGAAACCGGAGCUAAUACCGGAUAAUAUAUUGAACCGCAUGGUUCAAUAGUGAAAGACGGUUUUGCUGUCACUUAUAGAUGGAUCCGCGCCGCAUUAGCUAGUUGGUAAGGUAACGGCUUACCAAGGCAACGAUGCGUAGCCGACCUGAGAGGGUGAUCGGCCACACUGGAACUGAGACACGGUCCAGACUCCUACGGGAGGCAGCAGUAGGGAAUCUUCCGCAAUGGGCGAAAGCCUGACGGAGCAACGCCGCGUGAGUGAUGAAGGUCUUCGGGUCGUAAAACUCUGUUAUUAGGGAA